UAAAAAUAUGUACAUUUUAUUUUUAUUUAUAUUCAAUUGUAACUUUAUUUUGAUGCUUUAACGCAUCGAUCUUUUUGGAGGCUUUCCAAUUAUAAAUACCUUGAAAAUCGAAGAUCUUAAAAAAGAUCUAACUGUACCACGUGACGAUGUGAAAAAGUUACAGACGUUGUCGCAUCAAAAAAAUUCGAUGAAUUUUCGAAACAUCGUUUGCUCGCUAUAAUCUUUGGUUCUCGAAACCAAACCACGUUGUCAUUCGCCAUUUUGCUCCACUUGUCAAUGAUAAACAAGAUAUUUGAUCGAUGCUGACUGCGUGUAAAUCUAUUUCCUAAUGGAGUCACGGAACGGAUCGCGUAGAAGGGAAAAUGAAAACAUAUCCUGCCCGCCGUAAGAAGAGACUUCAGGUUGCACCGGAAACCGGUAAUAAAAAGCCUUUAUUAGAGCGAAGAAAUGAAAACUUAAUUCGCGAGGCACGACAAAAUUUUGAUGACGGUUCACGGCGAACAUUCGUGUGUUGGUCGCAGUUUAUUCGAUGUGUUUUUAUUUUGCGACGGAAGAAAAUGUGUCUCGUGCAUAGUUCGCAGCAAAGGGAAUUUUAAUUAAAGGUCAAAGUCGUAGAAGACUAUGAAAAAACGUUGCGCAGCGUUGCUGAUUGUUUCGAGCUUUAGGGGACGCUGGGAAUGUAUCUAACGUUAAUUGAAUGACUUUGAUAGCGGGAACUUCAGACGGAACAUGUCCACUUCCUUGGGGGAUUUAUUCUAGAUCGAGGCCAUGUGAUUAAGCAACGUCUGUUUUAUCAAUGCGACUGGUCUUACUUUUUUUAUUUAACUGUCCACGAGUUCCGCGAGUCCUCGAAAAUACACGUGAGAAUCUAAGACCGUGUUUUCCUUUGUUUCCUAUUUCAAGUUGAUAAAAUAUGUAAGUGUUUGUAAAUAUUUUGUAAAUAUGUAAAUAUUUGUAACGUCACAUUUUACAGCGUGAACGGAAAGAAAUGCAUAUAAAUAUUUAUCUUAAUCAAAUUAAUUUUCUAAUCAUUAAGGGAAAAAUUUUAAAGUCAAUCGAAGGAAAGUUCAACUUAAACUUUACCAGAAUUAAAUUUAGAAAAUAAUUCCAAAUUAAGAUUUAGGGUGUUUUCCGAUUCCUUUGGUAAAAAUGAUGUUAAGGAAGAGAAUCGUUUCAGGCCACUAAAAACAAGGCGACUUUGGCGAUUGUUGUUUAAGAGGAGCGAUUCUUUCCGAUAUUUUUAGGGUAGUAUACCUCGUAUUCAUAAAACGUGUAUUAAUUUUUUGUUGAAAAAUAUCUUGUACAAAUAUAUGUAUACAUAAACAUUAA